rnacentral:lncRNA from 1 species
ACCAAGAUACCUAUUUCACUCGGGCUGAUUCCAGUGUUGCGGAGAAGAGUAUCGACCGCUCCUAGUAUAACUUCUUGAGUCUCUUUACGUGACCCGACCAUGCUUUGUUCUAUCGGCAAGCAAUGAAGACCUUCCGGUACGUAGGUCUCUUGGCCUAGACCGGAACGUUCUAGAAUCUUGGUCACAAAGUCCAUCAAGUAUUCGUUCUCGUCUGACUUCCCCCAUUUGCCUGAUUCACGUACAACUCUUACGUGGUGCAUAAUCUUCUUGACGCUGGCUUUGAGAUGAGACGGUGGGAGGUAGCAGCUGAAGUCAACUAGGUAAACGGGUUUGGGUCGGUUCAUAAUGUAAAGCGUCCACCCGAGAAUCAGAGAGAUGGAGAAUAUGGUUAGGGACGUGAAAUUUUUCUGUAGGGAGAGGUAAAAGCUGUGGAGAUCUUGUGUGGAAAGACGAGAAGCUUGCAUGGCUAUAGCAACCAACAAUGGGAGGAAACACAGCUUCAAGCGAUGGGUCGUGAGGUAGUUGAAAACCAUUUUUACGUUAUUCAGUGGGGAAUACUUUUUAGUGAUAUGUUUCCCCUGUUUUGUUUUUAAACUCUUAGUGUGGUCUUUGUUCGUUCUGGCUCGUAUUACAUUUAUAGAGGUUUUGAUUGAGUAUGAUAGAGGGGGUAAGAAGAAGAGAGAUAGCUAGAGAGACAGCUCUCAUGCAAUGAAUGUAAUAAAUAAGCAAGCACGUGAAAGUUUUUACUCCGAAUAGCGACAUUUCCAAGUUUUAUUUUAACGCUUCAAAUGUAACUCGGAUGUUUUCUCUAAGUUUAUAUUUGUUCACUAUGAUAGCUACACAAUACUGAAUAUUAACUUUCAUGUUUAACGAGGAUAAGAGAAAAGGUGCAUUUAUCUUGAAGGUUGUAGGCCAUAUGCAUUGUUGGGGAUCAUUUACGAGUCAUAAAGUCAGUGGCAAAAUAUGGAGUCAGAUGAAACACUCAAAUACUAACCCAAUGUUAUCUCAUGUUAAUGUACACAAACCGGCGAUGGAGUCUCCUAGCUGGGUACCAACGUCUUAGUUAGGUGCUUUCCUCGUCUAGUUAGGAUUGUCGAUGCACAUAUAUUUUUUUUAAUAGAACAAAUAUGAAUGGAGACACUACGCCGUUUGUAUUGUCAGCUCACUACCAAAAAUUAAAAAAAAAAAAUGAUGAAACGUGUUCGAUUGACAACAGAUAUACACAUGCAUGCGCGAAGAUGGUGUUGGCCAACCCUAUCCGAUAAGUUGGAUAAUCCGUAUGAUCAUAUCAACCAUGGGGAUGUCAAUAUAUAGUAGCUAGCUCAACUCGAUCAGCCGCUAGUGGUUUAAUGACUGGAUUUGGCUCCAUUGUGCCCCUAUUUUGAUUUUCGUUGGAAGAAAUGUUUUACGCCGUGUUACCGGUAUUAGCGCCGGCUGGUCUCGGACCUAGGUGGAUUAUUUGAGCCGAAGGCUAUACACCUCAUGGUUAAAAAAAACUAGAUCAACCCAAAUCAUUUAUUAUAUGAGCUUAUAUAUACUUUACCUUCGUUCAACUAUGAUUAGUCAAUGUAUAUGCAAUAAAUUUUCAUAUCACAUCAUACUUUCGAUUUUUUACAUAUCCUGACUAUGUCAAAUUUUGGAGUGUAUAUGCAAAGAUAUUUGCAUGGAAAAAAAUCACAGUUUAAUAUGUUACAUCUUCAUUAUUAAAAUCUUUUAAAAAAGAAUCUUAUAUCCUGUAGAAAAUGUAUUUUCUCAAAUUUUUAGAAAAUGAAUGGUUACACAACACUCAGGUAGUAAAUGCGUGUAAAAAAACAACUACCUAUCUUUUGCCGCAUGUCCGUAAAACAAGCAUCUUCUUGCUUCAGAAUUCAGAAAAACCUAAGACAUUGUCAGGUAACAAUGGUUUUACCCUUUAACAGUUUGUCUUUUUUACUCCUACUUUUUUUGCUGUAGUGAAAUCUCAUAACCUUAGAACAAUCUAUCAGUUUUGGUAUAUUUUUAUAAAUAGAGAAACAAAAGAAUUCAAGCAAAGGGGUUUUCUCAAAGAAUAGGAAAAAUUACCUCCUAAACAGUAUUUCCAUUCAUGAUAUAAGAAGACAUUAAAUGCUAUUUUGUCUAUAUAUACUCCAAUUGUGUAAAAAUAUUAAAUUUGAAGGCAUCAAUGGAGUAGAUACAAGUCCACAUAUGGGCGCAGGACACUAAUUGUAUUCAGAUAAUUUGCACUCCCAAUUUAAAGCGGAAGGAUGGUGCGCACAGAUCUCAGCGUAGAAAAACAUGGUUGGGCAUAACAAUAUUUACUAGUUGUUUCACCACUAAAGAAAUUAAACCGUAGAAUUUAUGUUUGAUAAAGAAUUGGGAGUUGAGAGUGCGACGUGUGAGAGCAUCAUUAUCGUUUAGAAAUCCACUGGAAUUUUAAUUUCUUAAUAAUAUUGAUAUGAAUCUGUAUUUUUUUGAGACUCUUCCCUUUUUUAUGUCUUGAUGUUUCUUAUUUUUGUCUUUAAAUUGUCGAACUUGGUAAGAACUCUUCAAUGAUGAUUGAUAGCUUGUGACAAAAAGCAAGUCAAGGUUAAAAGCUAUUUGAGAAUUAUGGAUGUUUGUAUAAAAACUACUCCAUAUCUGGAGUUCCACCGAGUUUUCCAUAACGUAACAGUUGAUAGAGGUAAUGCACUCAUCAGAAUAUUUGAAAAUUCGGUGAUAGCUAAUUGAAUGUUUGUUUGAAAAAAAAAAAAAAGUCUAGUCAACAACCUAACAGAAACUAAAGUCAAUCUCCAACAAGACACCAAAACAUCAAAUUUGGUGUAAUUUUAUCUUCAACAAAACACCAAAUUUAACAGCAUCCCACCAAAUUUGGUGUAACACUAUUCAUCACAUCAAAUCUUUAAAUACAUAUUUUAUUAUGUUUUAUUUAAUAAUAUAGUUCAAUUACUAUCAAAUUUGUAAUUAAACAUAAAUAUAUUGUAUCAUUUAUAUUUUAAAUUUAUUUUCACAUAAUUAAAAUAUUAAAUCUUUUAUUUUUAUUUUUAUUUUUAUUUUCAAAAUAAAUUAUUAAAUGACCAUUAUUAUUUAUCACUUAAAAAUAAUAAUAAUCUAAAUAAUAAUCUAAAUGUGAUAAAAUAAUUAUUUAUCAAUCACAAACAAUAAAAUUUAAAAAAUUUAAAAUAUCAAAUAAUAGUAUAUUAUUUUUGGUGUAAAAUUUAGUGUAAUUGUUAAAGAUGACCAAAAAUUUUUGAUACCAAAACACCAAACUUAGUGUAAUUUCCACACCAAAUUUGGUGGCAUUGUUGGAGAUGCUCUAAGGACUCGUGCAAUCCCUUUCUUGUGGAGCUGGCAAAGCAAGUCAUUGAGCUCCUCUAGUCUUGGUGAGCCACUUGUAAGCUCCCCUAUCUAUCACAAUUAUCCCCUAUCUGUCACAGUUUCGUCAUGUAUGUAGUUUGUUUAGAUACCGAAACUGGGAGAUGGCAGCACAGGACAGUGAGCUGAGGUUGAUUGAGAGGACCGGUUGUUGGCAGGGAAGAGACGACGAUUACAAGAUUUGGAGACGAAGCAAUUUUAUUUUCCUUGCGAAAUGAUCUCACGUUUUUAGAAUUAAUAUGAAUAUUAGAUAUUACCAUACUUUGUUGGACAGUACUUCAUGAACUUGUGUCUUUCGAAGUUUUAAACUCUACGCUUGUUAACAAGAAUGACCAUGCCUCAAUGUAUUUUUAUACCGCAAAAACAACCGCAAUAAAAUACACUUUCUAAAGAAACACACGAGAAAAACGAUGUAAAGAACACAACUGACAGAUUCAUAAAAGAGUUGUUCAUGUCCUAAAAAAAAAAGAUGAAGCAUAUUUGUAACCGCAAAUGGGAAGCAAGGAGACACAUAACCGACUAUAGAUAUCCUCCAAAGGUUUAACUACUAAACUUGGUUGAAUAAAACUUCUUAAAACCCCUAACAUUUUACUAAUAUGUAAUCUGCCUUGAUAGCUCACCAAAAGAUACGCAAAUGAUUGAUUGUCUUUUUUUUUCCAGCCAAAUUUCAUUUCAUUUCAUUCAGAGAAAGUGAGGACCAAUGAGCUUUGCAAUCUCCAAGAAGCCGACACGGUCUUUGCCAUCAAAUAUCUUCUUCAGCUUCUCGUCGCAGAUUAUAACCUUCUUGUUUUGUGGAUCCUGUAGAAAGAACAACAUUUACUCACUUUUAAGUCACCACCAAAGGUUAUAACACAAAGUAAGAUAGAAUAUGAAUAGACUUGUUGUCAUUAUUUUGAAAAGUUAUCACUACUAAAACCCAAAACAACGAACAUGAGCAUGAGCAAAACGUGAAAAAAUCUACAUUUGUUUCAACUAGACAGAACUCAAAAUAAUCAUUAGACAGGUCAAGUAAGGUGAUUCAAAACCAAACAUGACAACUAACUAAGGAAUCAAAAAGGGAUUUAAUUAAUAAUACAUAUCUUAUCCCCAAUAAACAAUUGAGGUCACUAGUGAACUGUAUCGUCACUACUCAACUGUAUCAUCACAACAGAGCCUAGUCAACGUAAGCUGUUAGAAGGUUUUUUACUAAGCUCCAAAAAGGUUUCAAACCUCAUCCAAAUUAUUAAAAGCUGUCUCUUUUGAAAUCAAUAAGCAAUUAGAAAGAGAGAGAGUAUUUACUUGAAGGUCGUGUUCCUUGAUGUAAGCCCAAAUACGCUUGAGGGCCUGUGUGCGAGGUAUCACCGAUUCGCCUACAACGUCCUGCAUCUCGGGGGUCACCGGGCGAGGCUUCAUGAUGCCACGUGGCUCCCUCGUCUUGGUGGUUGAAGAGGGCUCGGAGGACGCCGCCGCCGUCGCGGAGGUUACGGCUCGCACCAUGCGCAGGUUAGCCGGAUGAGGAGAAAUACGGAGAGACGGCGAGCUUCGGAACGGCGCCGUAUCGACGCGGAGAGAGGUAGAGAAGGUAGCAGAAGAAAGAGCCAUUGUCGUCGUCUUGGGUGUUGUGUCUGUCUCUCUGUCUGUGUGGUGGAGUUGGAAAACGAGAGGCUUUUGCGUUAUCUCUUCUUCCUGUUUUUUAUAUUUUAACCGGUUUAUCGAACCGAAUUUAAUGAUACCGGUUAUCAGCGGAUUUAAAUGAUUUCUGCAUACCGGUCUUCUUCAAACGGUGUCGUGUUGAAGAACCCUCAGAAAACGCUGUUUUUGUUCAUCUCCUCCGUCUCCUCCUAAAACUGAAUCUCUCUUUUCAAAUUCAAAAAAAAACGAGGAUACGUCUAUCUCAGAUCUUCACAAUGGAUAAUCCGAUUCAAGAGGUACUAUCUUGCAUCUACGCACUGUUUUUUACGUGGCUUUGUAUUGGAUUUUUUUUUAUGUUAGGACAGUUACUUAGUUAAUAUAUAAAAAUAAACUUUUUUUUUUUUUGCAGGUGAUGGAUAAGCAGCACAUUGAGACGCGUUUUGUGAAGAUCCAAGCUGAGAAGAGUCCGUUCUUGGCUGAGAAGCUCAAGAUUGUGGUUCUUCCCACUCUCGCACUCAUUAAGAACACUAAAGUUGAUGAUUAUGUGGUAUAGUCACACACAACACAACUCCAACUUUUGUUUUUUUUUUGUCUUUUAGGAUAUGAUUGGUUAUUUUGGUAGGUUGGGUUUAAUGAGCUGGGAGGGAGAGACGAUUUCAGCACGGAGGAUCUAGAAGAGAGAUUAGCUAGAGCUCAAGUUAUCCAUUACGAGGGUGAAUCAUCAUCUCAUAAGGUAAAGUCUAUCUACUGGGAGCUUGUGGUCAAGUGGUAAGGGGAAGAGGUUGGGAUGUCACCACAUUUCAAGUUCGAUCCACCUGCCAUGCGAAACUAAGUCAUAUUUUCCUGGUCACCUACACGGAUAUGGGCUAUUGCAUUUCGGCCCAUUUGAAUACCCGGAAGAGGGUUUAUCCGUGGGCUGCACCUCCCACCCGGGGGUUAGGUCUGUGUCUUUAAUAGACCCAGGUUUAACCUUUUUGUUUACAAAAAAAAAUAAAAAUAAGGUAAAGUCUAUGACACAAGCCAGGAGGAGUGUAAGGCAGAGUGCUAAUUCAGAUUCUGACUCUGAAUGAAUCCCAAGUUUUAACAAUAUAUAUAAAGGAGGAAACAUAAAAUGUAAGCGCUCGUAGCUUGGUGGUAAACGAGGUACAGCUGUACUGUCCGCCACCCGGGUUCGAGCCUUGGCCACAACGGAUUUAACAUCCCUUCCGUUGGGGCACUGGACCCCUUUCGGGGGAUAGUUGGGAAUGUAGCUGCUCAGAUACCAGAGUUAUCAAAAAAAAAAAUAAAAAAAAAAUGUAAGUGAGCUUGUUGUUGAGUUUUUAUUGAACUAAUUAAGUUAGUCAUAUGUAAUAUUCAAAGCUAUUCAUUUGUCUUUUUCAUGAUCUAAUAUGGAUUUUUUAACCUUUUAACAUUUUAUUAUUUUAUCAAAAAUUAUGAAAAUUUUCAAGUAUCUGCAUACUGAUGAUUCUAAUUAUAUUUAUCACCUAUGUCAUACAAUAAUUAAAUUAUGUGUAUAUAUAUUGAAUUUUAAGAACUUUUCCUAAACGUAAAACUGUGGAAUUUUAGAUUUUUGAUGAUUAUUUAAAAUAAAGUCUUGUAUUUCUGCCCUAUCUAUGUGUAUAUUUGAUUUAAAAAAAAAACUUGUUUGCAUAAAAGCACACGGAAUAUUUAAACUUAUUCUUUCACGAGAAGAAACACACCACAUUAAAAUGAGUAAAGAAAAAACUUAUAGAGAGUCGGACAUACUCUUGAGUCAUAUAUCGAUCUCAACUGGAUAUUUGUUCAGACAUUCUUCCCAAGGAUUAUCAGCAGAAGCCUUAACGUUACGAAGAGCCACCCAAACACAACUAUUGCAUUUAAACCCUGACCCCAACGCUAUCUGCCAAGUCCUAUCUCCUUUCUUCAUCCUUCCUUUCGCUUCCGUGUAAGCCAACUCGUACCAAAUAGAACUCGAUGAUGUAUUACCAAACCUAUGUAACGUCAUUCUUGAUGCUUCCACAUGUAACGGAGAGAGAUGAAGAUUCUUCUCAAGCUCAUCUAUAAGCGCUCUACCACCCGCAUGUAUACAGAAAUGCUCGAACGCAAGCUUGAAAUUCGGCAUGUAAUGCUUGAUCUUGGGGUUGAAAAACUUCUUUCUAAGGAAUGUGACAAAGAAGAGAAGCUUUUCGCUUAUGGGAAGAACCAGUGGACCUAACGUUGCGAUAUUAAUCUUAAGGGUUCUUGCAGCUACCAUGGGUAGAUCCUUUGACAAGGUGACUCCAACUACACCAUCUUCAUCUUCUUCUUGAGUCGCGCAUCCGUAAGAUCGGUCAUCGGACCCGGUAUGGACCCUCACCGUGUGGACAAGCUUGUAUUUAACGCGUUUUCGGUCUUUAGAGAUGUUAGAAAGCAAAACCGCAGCCCCACCUACCCGGAACAAACAGUUUGUAACCAACAUUGAUUUGUUGUUACCAACGUACAAGUUCUGAGUUAUGUUCUCGGUGCUGACCACAAGAGCAUAAGUGUUUCUAUGAACUUGUAACAAACUCUUAGCGACAUCUAUAGCGAUGACGCCAGCACUACACCCCAUCCCACCAAGAUUAAAGCUCUUUAUAUUUUCCCUAAGUUUAUAUUUGUUCACUAUGAUAGUUGCUAACGAAGGAGUUGGAUUGAAAGUGCUCGAGUUCACCACCAAGAUACCUAUUUCACUCGGGCUGAUUCCAGUGUUGCGGAGAAGAGUAUCGACCGCUCCUAGUAUAACUUCUUGAGUCUCUUUACGUGACCCGACCAUGCUUUGUUCUAUCGGCAAGCAAUGAAGACCUUCCGGUACGUAGGUCUCUUGGCCUAGACCGGAACGUUCUAGAAUCUUGGUCACAAAGUCCAUCAAGUAUUCGUUCUCGUCUGACUUCCCCCAUUUGCCUGAUUCACGUACAACUCUUACGUGGUGCAUAAUCUUCUUGACGCUGGCUUUGAG